UGCCUGAUACCUUGAGUUCCCGCUCAGUUUCCGCUGAGUUUCCCCACAAUAAAGCAGCUCCCGCUUCAACCUUCAAGUUGCUUGUCACCUCCCGGUUAUUUUGCCCAGCCGGACUGUGGCAGAGACGGAAGGUCCAGGUGUUUCUGUUACUUCUCUGGUUCCAGCAACUGCCUUGUCAACUGUCCCCAGUGUCCUGUACCCCAGUUUCCCAAGCAACAGUGAACCUAAAAAACACACAAAAUGAUGCUGGUGUUAAGUAACACAUCUGGGGACACCUCGUCUCACCAGCCAAAUGUCAUGUUUUUUCUAUAAAAUCAACCGAUGAUCAAGGGCACCGGCUUUGUCCCCCUUGCUUCCUGGGAAUUGUUUUUAGGCCGCUCUCCAUCUUUGACAACAAAUGGACUUGGUGUCACCUCCCCUGUCCACGUGGCCCUAAUUGGGGACCCGUUGCUCGGAUUGGCUGAACAUGGAUCGUUGUGAGGCGGUUUGGAAACACUGGCGAGUGGCUUCAAAAUCACUGUGUUUGCAUUAAAGGAGGUCUACGCAGUCUGCUGCUGUCAUUUAGAGGGCAUUUCUCUGACUCCAGGGUUUCACAGAGUGAUUCUGUUGAAGAUAUUUUCAUUUAAAAACUUUCAUCUA